rnacentral:rRNA from 1 species
UAGGGAAUCUUCCACAAUGGACGCGAGUCUGAUGGAGCAACGCCGCGUGAGUGAAGAAGGUUUUCGGAUCGCAAAGCUCUGUUGUUGGUGAAGAAGGAUAGAGGUAGUAACUGGCCUUUAUUUGACGGUAAUCAACCAGAAAGUCACGGCUAACUACGUGCCAGCAGCCGCGGUAAUACGUAGGUGGCAAGCGUUGUCCGGAUUUAUUGGGCGUAAAGCGAGCGCAGGCGGAAGAAUAAGUCUGAUGUGAAAGCCCUCGGCUUAACCGAGGAACUGCAUCGGAAACUGUUUUUCUUGAGUGCAGAAGAGGGGAGUGGAAUUCCAUGUGUAGCGGUGGAAUGCGUAGAUAUAUGGAAGAACGCCAGUGGCGAAGGCGACUCUCUGGACUGCAACUGACGCUGAGGCUCGAAAGCAUGGGUAGCGAACAGG